rnacentral:rRNA from 1 species
GCCUAUGGCCAUACCACCCUGAACACGCCCGAUCCCAUCUCAUCUUGGAAGCUAAGCAGGGUCGGGCCUGGUUAGUACUUGGAUGGGAGACCGCCUGGGAAUACUGGGUGCUGUAGGCU